UGUUGGACGUUGCUUUCCUAUUUCGAUGGCGCUUAUCAACGGAUACUGGCGGCGUCGUUGAUAAGGUUCCAGGAUCCUAUAAAUGGAAGGUUUCAACUUCAUUUUGGUCAAAGUAAUAAUUCUGCAAACUUCACUUCGCCGGACUAUAUCCGUUUUGCUGGGAUGAAGAGAGAGAAUAGUCUUAACAUCAAACAGCGUUCAGAGCAGCAUGACAGACAACAGUUGAUUGAUAUAACCAAAGAUAUUGAACGGAUUAGCUAGUAUUUAUCGUCAGUAGUG